rnacentral:misc_RNA from 1 species
UUGCAGUUUCAAUGGAGGCAGCACCAGAUUUAUCAUUUAUGCUCUGAUCAUUGGAAGUAGGGAUGCCAGUUUCCUGAUCCCUGAAUAUAGUCUUCUUAAUGGGAGACUCAACCCUUAAUUCUUUCACUUGGUUUUUGUUCAGAUCAGAACUCUCUGUUUUAUAGUUCUCAUCUAUUUGACAAAGAGACAUCAAAGACGUGAGAUCAAAAGAUAGAGCAGCAACUCCUGGAAAAGGACAAGAACCUUUAACAGGCUG